GACGAACGCUGGCGGCGUGCCUAAUACAUGCAAGUUGAGCGCUGAAGGUUGGUACUUGUACCAACUGGAUGAGCAGCGAACGGGUGAGUAAAGCGUGGGGAAUCUGCCUUUGAGCGGGGGACAACAUUUGGAAACGAAUGCUAAUACCGCAUAAAAACUUUAAACACAAGUUUUAAGUUUGAAAGAUGCAAUUGCAUCACUCAAAGAUGAUCCCGCGUUGUAUUAGCUAGUUGGUGAGGUAAAGGCUCACCAAGGCGAUGAUACAUAGCCGACCUGAGAGGGUGAUCGGCCACAUUGGGACUGAGACACGGCCCAAACUCCUACGGGAGGCAGCAGUAGGGAAUCUUCGGCAAUGGACGAAAGUCUGGCCGAGCAACGCCGCGUGAGUGAAGAAGGUUUUCGGAUCGUAAAACUCUGUUGGUAGAGAAGAACGUUGGUGAGAGUGGAAAGCUCAUCAAGUGACGGUAACUACCCAGAAAGGGACGGCUAACUACGUG
rnacentral:rRNA from 1 species